rnacentral:rRNA from 1 species
UACGAGAGCCCCCAGCGUUACCCGGAAUUAUUGGGCGUAAAGGGUGUGUAGGCGGUCAUAUUAGUCAUUUGUUAAAGCCCGGGGCUCAACCCCGGAUCUGCGAGUGAAACGGUAUGACUAGAGGGUGUGAGAGGUAAGUGGAACUCAUGGUGUAGGGGUGAAAUCCGUUGAUAUCAUGGGGAACAACAAAUGCGAAGGCAACUUACUGGCACACUCCUGACGCUGAAACACGAAAGCCAGGGUAGCGAAGAGG